GCGGGAAUAGCUCAGUUGGUAGAGCACAACCUUGCCAAGGUUGGGGUCGCGGGUUCGAGUCCCGUUUCCCGCU
rfam:Gemmatimonadetes bacterium GWC2_71_10 gwc2_scaffold_15550, whole genome shotgun sequence.